GCUGGAUGCCACCUGCGUGCCCGUAGCCCUGCUGCAAUGUGAUUGGCUAUAUGCCAGGUGCUGUUGUCGUCAUUUGCUAGUUGUAGUAUUUCUUUUGUAGCAACUGUGGUCACUCGCCGUGUACACCGUGGAUUAAUCUUCUACAGCUCAAAAGUGAAAGUGUGACUUUUGAAGAAAAACUUUAUAUUAAACACUUCGGUGCCCUCCAACCUCGGAUAUUGUUAUAAAGCAAACCUCUGCUAAAAUAAUGCAGAUUUAACGUGGAGUGGUUCUUCGGUUGGGGGGGGGGAGCUAACUGCUAACGUUAGCUUGUCAGAGGAGACGCGUUUUUGCUAGCUACCCUUGUGUGUUAUUCGGAGGGGAGAUACUCAAGAAGAAUUUGACAGCGCAUACAAACGGGGAAUUGCGCAGUGUAACAGAGUGCAAGUGGAGGAGAACAGUCCUCAGAGGAGGACCAUUGCCUCAGCUGAAUAAGCAGUUGACUGCUAGUUUCAAAUGCUUUUGAAUGCUGAAGAGGAGUACAAAUGAGUCCUCCUCCGAAGGUCAGCAUACGGCUGUUUACUGAGCUUUCGUGCCCACCAAGGGUUCUCGACCCAGCUUCCACUCCAGCCCCUUUGGUUCACUAGUCUGCACAGCGGGACCAGAGGGCAGCUGCAUCAAGACUUGCAUCAGGCCAGCUAUGCUAAAAGAAAUGAUGACGAAAUGCAGAGAUGCUUCCUGUCCUUCCACUGGAACAAGGUCUAAUCGUCUUUUGCAGGUGAUGCUGACGUGCGUGGCCAAUCGGAUCAAGCGGAUGCACUGAUUUUGACUCGAGGGAAGAGCUACAGUUACUCAUGCGGAUGGACUGAUGCCAUGCUGAGAAAGCCGACUGGUGGAGGCUGAUGUCAUGCAUCCCAUUAACCAAUUAACCAGAGAGAGAGAGAGAGAGAGCGAGAGGGACCAUUGCAGGGCCUCUGUACGGAUUUGCAAUGACAGAUUGACACAGAGGAUGAUGAGCACUACGAUAUUGAGGUGGAGGUGGCCAAGAAUGAGA